rnacentral:rRNA from 1 species
CUACGGGUUGCAGCAGUGAGGAAUAUUGCACAAUGGGGGGAACCCUGAUGCAGCAACGCCGCGUGGAGGAUGGCGCAUUUCGGUGUGUAAACUCCUUUUAUAUGUCAAGAAAAUGACGGUAGCAUAUGAAUAAGCACCGGCUAACUCCGUGCCAGCAGCCGCGGUAAUAGGGAGGGUGCAAGCGUUACUCGGAAUCACUGGGCGUAAAGGACGCGUAGGCGGGUUGGAAAGUCAGGUGUGAAAUCCUACAGCUUAACUGUAGAACUGCACUUGAAACUUCUAAUCUAGAGUAUGGGAGGGGGAGAUGGAAUUAGUGGUGUAGGGGUAAAAUCCGUAGAUAUCACUAGGAAUACCUAAAGCGAAGGCGAUCUCCUGGAACAUUACUGACGCUAAGGCGUGAAAGCGUGGGGAGCAAACAGGAUUAGAUACCCCGGUAGUC